rnacentral:rRNA from 1 species
CUGACCUACGGGGCGCAGCAGUGGGGAAUGUUGCACAAUGGGGGAAACCCUGAUGCAGCGACGCCGCGUGAGUGAGGAAGUAUUUCGGUAUGUAAAGCUCUAUCAGCAGGGAAGAAAAUGACGGUACCUGACUAAGAAGCCCCGGCUAACUACGUGCCAGCAGCCGCGGUAAUACGUAGGGGGCAAGCGUUAUCCGGAUUUACUGGGUGUAAAGGGAGCGUAGACGGCAGCGCAAGUCUGGAGUGAAAUCCCAUGGCUUAACCAUGGAACUGCUUUGGAAACGGUGCAGCUGGAGUGCAGGAGAG